CUGCUGGAGGAAGAGCCAAUUGGAUUCCUUGCUUCCUCCUCCUGGCUCAGCCAAUCUAGAAAGACUAUUAUUGAAGGGAAAUGAAGAGCCCGGGCUUGAACCUAGGAUGAGGCUGCUUCUCGCAGAGACUUCUGGCAUCACUUGCUUUUAUAGCCCCUGCCUGGGCCAAGCCUGACCACCAGCCUGCGUCCUGAAUGGGCAAGAGUUCCAAGGGAGGUUAUUUCCUUGUUUGGUGACCUGGCUUCCUGGGGCUCCCCAAGAAAGGAUGCAUGGUGUUGAGACCUUAAAUAUUUGACAAUGUCUUUACUGGCACUUGAUUAAUAAGUUGACUAUGUUGCUGCCAGGUAAACACCAUUUUGUCUUGUCUUUCUGAAGGCUCUGCACCAUUUCUAACUGUUAGCAGUUUCUUUUUGGAGAGGUCUGAUGCUAUGCUCAUUUCUGAUCAUUUAUAUGUGAUUUUUUGUUUCUUUCUGGAAACUUUUGUCCCAGGUUCUAAAAUUUCACAAUCAUGUGCUUUGGUGAGGGUAGGUUUUACUUUCAUCUGUUUGUUUUGCUGGGCCUUUGGAUGAGCCCUUUUGAUCCAGAAAUUGUCACCCUCAGUCCUGGGAAGUGUCUUUAUAUUCUUUCUUUGACAAUAACUACUCCCUUUCCUGUUUUAUCUUUCUGGAACUUCUGAUGUUAGAUUCCAGAACAUGAAUGAAUUAUUUUUCACCAG